AUGAACGCUAGCUACAGGCUUAACACAUGCAAGUCGAGGGGAAACGACAUCGAAAGCUUGCUUUUGAUGGGCGUCGACCGGCGCACGGGUGAGUAACGCGUAUCCAACCUGCCCAUCACUUGGGAAUAACCUUGCGAAAGUAAGACUAAUACCCAAUGAUAUCCCACGAAGGCAUCGGAAUGGGAUUAAAGAUUUAUCGGUGAUGGAUGGGGAUGCGUCUGAUUAGCUUGUUGGCGGGGUAACGGCCCACCAAGGCAACGAUCAGUAGGGGUUCUGAGAGGAAGGUCCCCCACAUUGGAACUGAGACACGGUCCAAACUCCUACGGGAGGCAGCAGUGAGGAAUAUUGGUCAAUGGGCGAGAGCCUGAACCAGCCAAGUAGCGUGCAGGAAGACGGCCCUAUGGGUUGUAAACUGCUUUUAUAAGGGAAUAAAGUGGGUCACGUGUGACUUUUUGCAGGUACCUUAUGAAUAAGGACCGGCUAAUUCCGUG
rnacentral:rRNA from 1 species